rnacentral:rRNA from 1 species
GACAGAGGUGCCGAGCGUUAGGCGGAAUCACUGGGCUUAAAGCGUGUGUAGGCGGAUCUGUAAGUACCUUGUGAAAUCCCACGGCUCAACCGUGGAACUGCUUGGUAUACUGCGGGUCUUGAGCCACCUAGGGGCAAGUGGAACAAACGGUGGAGCGGUGAAAUGCGUAGAUAUCGUUUGGAACGCCAAUGGUGAAAACAACUUGCUGGGGGUGUGCUGACGCUGAGACACGAAAGCCAGGGAGCAAACGGG